rnacentral:rRNA from 1 species
AUUGAACGCUGGCGGCAGGCCUAACACAUGCAAGUCGAGCGGCAGCGGGAAAGUAGCUUGCUACUUUUGCCGGCGAGCGGCGGACGGGUGAGUAAUGCCUGGGAAAUUGCCCAGUCGAGGGGGAUAACAGUUGGAAACGACUGCUAAUACCGCAUACGCCCUACGGGGGAAAGCAGGGGACCUUCGGGCCUUGCGCGAUUGGAUAUGCCCAGGUGGGAUUAGCUAGUUGGUAAGGUAAUGGCUCACCAAGGCGACGAUCCCUAGCUGGUCUGAGAGGAUGAUCAGCCACACUGGAACUGAGACACGGUCCAGACUCCUACGGGAGGCAGCAGUGGGGAAUAUUGCACAAUGGGGGAAACCCUGAUGCAGCCAUGCCGCGUGUGUGAAGAAGGCCUUCGGGUUGUAAAGCACUUUCAGCGAGGAGGAAAGGUUGAUGCCUAAUACGUAUCAACUGUGACGUUACUCGCAGAAGAAGCACCGGCUAACUCCGUGCCAGCAGCCGCGGUAACAC